rnacentral:rRNA from 1 species
GAUGAACGCUGGCGGCGUGCUUAACACAUGCAAGUCGAACGGUGAAAGAGGGAGCUUGCUCCUUCUGGAUCAGUGGCGAACGGGUGAGUAACACGUGAGUAACCUGCCCUUGACUCUGGGAUAAGCGUUGGAAACGACGUCUAAUACCGGAUACGAGCUUCAGCCGCAUGGCUAGGAGCUGGAAAGAACUUCGGUCAAGGAUGGACUCGCGGCCUAUCAGCUUGUUGGUGAGGUAAUGGCUCACCAAGGCGACGACGGGUAGCCGGCCUGAGAGGGUGACCGGCCACACUGGGACUGAGACACGGCCCAGACUCCUACGGGAGGCAGCAGUGGGGAAUAUUGCACAAUGGGCGCAAGCCUGAUGCAGCAACGCCGCGUGAGGGACGACGGCCUUCGGGUUGUAAACCUCUUUUAGUAGGGAAGAAGCGAAAGUGACGGUACCUGCAGAAAAAGCACCGGCUAACUACGUGCCAGCCGCCGCCGUAAGAC